rnacentral:rRNA from 1 species
UUUAAAUCCUUUAACGAGGAACCAUUGGAGGGCAAGUCUGGUGCCAGCAGCCGCGGUAACUCCAGCUCCAAUAGCGUAUAUUAAAGUUGUUGCGGUUAAAAAGCUCGUAGUCGGAUUUCUGUCUUCGGCCGGGCGGCGCCGCUCUGAAUCAAGGGUGUUGCGUUUCACGCUCUGGGAGCCCGGGUGUCAAAGCCCGACUCUCUUCACGGUCGGACAACAUGGCCGGAGUGGUGGCCGGUGGGUCGCGUUGUAUCGGUUUGUCUUUUUUUUGUUUGUUUCCCUAUCAACGGGGAGCGAAGAACUGAAAGCACUCAUUUGACGCGAUUCGCUCCACCCAGUCAAUCGUUCGGGGUGCCCUUCACCGGGUGUCUCGGGCGGCCGGCAACGUUUACUUUGAACAAAUUAGAGUGCUCAAAGCAGGUGUAUCCCAACGCCUGAAUAUCGCAGCAUGGAAUGAUGGAAUAGGACCUCGGUCCGAUUUUGCUGUCUUUUUUCUUUUGGACCCGAGGUAAUGGUCAAUAGAGACGGACGGG